ACCAGCGUGAAAGGAGAAAUCGUGGACAGCAUAGGAAACAGACAACAAGGAUGUGCUGGAUAGAUGGUGACCUAUCUAUAUUAAUGAUUUCAACAGAUUGGUAUCACAAACAUCCAACAGAAAUCUGAUGGCAACUGGCUGUCAGUAAGAUGAAAUCUGACGACAACUGGCUGGCAGUAAGAUGAAAUCUGAUGACAACUGGCUGUCAGUAAGAUGAAAUCUGAUGACAACUGGCUGUCAGUAAGAUGAAUUUCGGAAUGUUUCAUCCCGAGUCGGAAGAAGACGUCACCUUACCUGUCUGUUGUCUGUAGCAGCCAUUCGACAUGAAAAAUAAACAGAAAGAAUGUCGCUCAGUCCUGCCAGAGGAAUCAUUCAGAUACUGAAGUUAAUCCUUAGUUCAAGGCAUCUUCCCUGAAGAUUCAGUAUGAAAAUGUAUUAUCACACAUUGUCUCAAGUCACGUCAGACUUAUUUGUUUCCUCAUUACCCAAGAGACUACAAAUUUGACCCUUGUGACCUUGAUAUUUAUAAUUGCCUUUUUCUCAUCAACCUUAAUAAAACACGACUGGCAAUCAUUGGACCAUAAGUGUGAAGCCAAUAAUUGUCGAUCAACUUUUAUAAAUGACAAUAAAAUCUAUACAUAGGAAUACUGGUUUUCAAUUGCUCGUCCAUGUAGCGUUUGACCUUGAGCCUGGGCUUGACCUUGCUCCCUCAUGACAUUCUCAAUGGAUUCAGUCCGGGCUCUCACUGAGCCACUCACAACAACGAUAUCACGGCUCGACAGAUCUGAUUGGCCACCAACUGCCCCCGGACUACGUCCUCCUAAAUUAGGAUUGGACCCUGAAUGAUUGCCUGACCCUCGUAUCCGUGGUGAGCCGCGACCCAUGGUGGGUGUGAGGGGGCGUUCAAUAGCAACAACGUAGUCAGUAAGAGAAACAUCUGAUGAUCCACCAGAUUCCAAUGGGAUUGGAUGUGUCCGGAAAUGUUCCAGCAUGUCAAAGAUGGAUUGGAACCAAAGGUGCUGCACACGACAUUGUCCAUCAGAGUUAAUCGUCAUCCUCAAAUGCUGCAAUUACAAUUAAGUAACAGUUAAAACCUGGAAAAUUGAAUUAACUGAUAAUGAAGCAGAAUGCUGGUUUGCAGUUAUUUUAAAAUGUAGGUGGCAUGUAAUAAUUUUCCGGUCUCAGAAUAACUAUAGUUAAUCAGGAUAUGCAACCACACUGAUACAUCAGUCUGCAACUGAUCAUUACUCAUUUCCUAAUUACCUACUGUUGAUGUUUGUUGCCUCAAAGAUCUCCAAUUAUCAAAUUUUAUGACAUCAUCUUAUAAGUUGAUCACAGUUAGGGGAAAAUUAUGCAAUAUGUAAAAGUUGUUAAGCAAUGCAUAGAAAACUGAAAAUUAAAACAUUUUCAUUUCAAGAUCAUUUUAUUAAAUCGAAAAAGAUUUAAUGGAAAUUGUGCAACAGGUAAUGCCUAGAGAAGCCCUUUCCCUCAGUAAAAUAAAACAUCGUAUACAUCUAAGACUGCUUUUGAAAUUUUUUUAAGAAUCAUGGAAAAUGGAAAAUGAAAAUAUGCAAAAUCAUUAUUCAGAAAAAAAAUCCAACAAUUCUAGAGUUCUUUUAUAAUAUCUGGCCACAAAUUUGGAUAGUUAUCCUGUAUGAUUUAGAUAAGUAAAACUUCAGAAUAACAUAAGCAGGCCUUAAACCAACUUGAAAAGCCUUAACUAACAAUAUCUCCAAUGGCAUAACCAUCUAACCAGUAAACGUUUCAGUAUUGAUAAAUGAUAACAAAGUGUUGUGCUAUUUCAAGCUACCUUUGCACGUCCUUGAAAGUUGAAGGUGAGCACGUAUUCACCCUUGCGUGUUUCACUUUGUCGUACAAGAAAGAUUCCAUGACCCACUUGGCCUUGCUGAAGCACAAGCUGUGCUGCCUCGAGGCGGGAAAGUGUACCAUGGAACCAUGGGUAAUCAUGAAGGAGAACAUCAAUCUGGGUCUCUGCUGACGGUUGUGAAUCCCUCUGACCAUCAGCUGAAAAUAAAAACUAGUAUAUCAUAUGGAAUACCCACUUCACCACGAAAUGAUUUUACCACUCUGGUGUCAAAACCUGAAUGUCAUAUUUUUCACCAUUGAAAGUCAAGAACUAAAAAUAUACACUUCUUUUUCAAUUAAAAUCUAUGUCUAUUUGAAUCAUUAAAGAUAUAAGAAUUA